AGCUUUGUGCAGUGGCAGUAUCGCAAGCCAAUGAGGCUCAUCGGAGGCACGAUUAUUACUAAUUGAAAACUUUUCUCAGCCUCUCAAGUGCUGGGAUUACAGGAGCUGCCACCACA
rnacentral:snRNA from 1 species